UACGAAGGGGGCGAGCGUUGUUCGGAUUUACUGGGCGUAAAGGGCGCGCAGGCGGCAGAUCAAGUCAGACGUGAAAGCCCCGGGCUUAACCUGGGAACUGCGUUUGGGACUGAUUUGCUAGAGAUCGGGAGAGGAGAGUGGAAUUCCCAGUGUAGAGGUGAAAUUCGUAGAUAUUGGGAAGAACACCGGUGGCGAAGGCGGCGCUCUGGACCGAGACUGACGCUGAGGCGCGAAAGCGUGGGGAGCAAACAGG
rnacentral:rRNA from 1 species